rnacentral:rRNA from 1 species
AGUGAACGCUGGCGGUAGGCCUAACACAUGCAAGUCGAACGGCAGCACAGUAAGAGCUUGCUCUUACGGGUGGCGAGUGGCGGACGGGUGAGGAAUACAUCGGAAUCUACUUUUUCGGGGGGGAUAACGUAGGGAAACUUACGCUAAUACCUCAUACGACCUACGGGUGAAAGCAGGGGAUCUUCGGACCUUGCGCGAUUGAAUGAGACGAUGUCGGAUUAGCUAGUUGGCGGGGUAAAGGCCCACCAAGGCGACGAUCCGUAGCUGGUCUGAGAGGAUGAUCAGCCACACUGGAACUGAGACACGGUCCAGACUCCUACGGGAGGCAGCAGUGGGGAAUAUUGGACAAUGGGCGCAAGCCUGAUCCAGCCAUACCGCGUGGGUGAAGAAGGCCUUCGGAUUGUAAAGCCCUUUUGUUGGGAAAGAAAAGCAGCAGGUUAAUCCCCCGCUGUUCUGACGGUACCCAAAGAAUAAGCCCCGGCUAACUUCGUG